rnacentral:rRNA from 1 species
AUUGAACGCUGGCGGCAGGCUUAACACAUGCAAGUCGAGCGGGGUGAUGGUGCUUGCACUAUCACUUAGCGGCGGACGGGUGAGUAAUGCUUAGGAAUCUGCCUAUUAGUGGGGGACAACAUCUCGAAAGGGAUGCUAAUACCGCAUACGUCCUACGGGAGAAAGCAGGGGAUCACUUGUGACCUUGCGCUAAUAGAUGAGCCUAAGUCGGAUUAGCUAGUUGGUGGGGUAAAGGCCUACCAAGGCGACGAUCUGUAGCGGGUCUGAGAGGAUGAUCCGCCACACUGGGACUGAGACACGGCCCAGACUCCUACGGGAGGUAGCAGUGGGGAAUAUUGGACAAUGGGCGGAAGCCUGAUCCAGCCAUGCCGCGUGUGUGAAGAAGGCCUUUUGGUUGUAAAGCACUUUAAGCGAGGAGGAGGCUACUUAGAUUAAUACUCUGGGAUAGUGGACGUUACUCGCAGAAUAGGCACCGGCUAACUCUGUGCCAGCCGCCGCAGUAA